rnacentral:rRNA from 1 species
UACGGGGGGUGCAAGCGUUGCUCGGAAUUACUGGGCGUAAAGCGCACGCAGGCGGUGUGCAAGGUCGGAUGUGAAAGCCCAGGGCUCAACCCUGGAACUGCAUUCGAAACCGGCACGCUAGAGUUCGAGAGAGGGUGGUGGAAUUCCUGGUGUAGAGGUGAAAUUCGUUGAUAUCAGGAGGAACACCGGCGGCGAAGGCG